rnacentral:rRNA from 1 species
UGAAUUUAAGCAUACCCGCUGAAUUUAAGCAUAUAAGUAAGCAGAGGACUCGAAACCAAAUUGGCAGACCCCAGUAAUGGCGAACGAACUGGGACAUUCUCAGUGCUGGAAUCGGGGCGUGAGCCUCUAACUGUGCUGCUGUGGUGUACAGCUUGCAAGGGGGUAAGCUUGAGCCUCUUGGAAGAGGGCGCUGCUGGGGGUGAGAGUCCCUCCUGCCACCUACUUCCCUGCAGGAAUGGUGUAUCUUCCUAGAGUCGCGUUCUUUGGGACUGGAGCGCAAUGGGGUGGUAAGUUGCAUCUAGAGUUGAUCAAAUGCUUGGGAUCAAUAGUUAACAAGUACUGUGAGGGAAAGGUGAAAAGGACUUUGGAGAGAGAGCUAGAAGUGCCUGAACUUACUGUGGGUGAAGUGAAUUGGGCUGAAGCCGUGGUGAGAUUGCGGUGUGGCAUGGACACUGAGACUUAUGCUCACUCUUGUGAGACUUUGGGCUAUGUGUGCAGCCUGCAUGGUGGGUCUCAUCAACAAUGCUGUCAGCAGUUGCUCCUCGAACAUUUCCACAAGCUUUGUUGCUGACUACGUGCCAGCUGGAUGCUUGCCAGCUUCGACUGCAGAGUGUUUGAUGGUUUCAAGGACAGCUUGACUCGUCCCGUCUUGAAACACGGACCAAGGAGUCUAGCAUCUGUGCAAGUGUGCUGGCCUGAAGAAUUCUGGCCGCAAAGUCAAGUGCGACUGCCUGGCAACUUGCACUGGCAACCAACUUACCACCGGGGCAACGUUUGAGUGUGAGCACAAGUGCUAGGGCCCGAAAGAUGGUGAACUAUGCCUGUGCAGGGCAAACUCAGGGGAAACCCUGGUGGAGGCUUACAGUGGUACUGACGUGCAAAUCGUUCGUU